rnacentral:rRNA from 1 species
UUAACAAAAACAUGUCUUUUUGAGUUAUUUUUAAAGUCUGACCUGCCCACUGAAUAAUUUUGAAUGGCCGCAGUAUUUUAACUGUGCAAAGGUAGCAUAAUCAUUAGUCUUUUAAUUGAAGGCUGGUAUGAAUGGUUGGACGAAGUAUAAUCUGUUUCAUAAAAAUUUAUUGUAGAAUUUUAUAUUUUAGUUAAAAAGCUAAAAUUUAAUUAAAAGACGAGAAGACCCUAUAAAUCUUUAUAUUUAAUAUAAUUUUAAUUUUUUUGAUGUAUUUUAUUUUAAUUUUAUUAAUUAUUUUGUUGGGGUGAUGUUAAAAUUUAAUGAACUUUUAAUUAUUAAAAAUCAUUAAUUUAUGAUUUAUUGAUCCGUUAAUAACGAUUAUAAGAUUAAGUUACUUUAGGGAUAACAGCGUAAUUUUUUUGGAGAGUUCUUAUUGAUAAAAAAGUUUGCGACCUCGAUGUUGGAUUAAGAUAUAUUUUUAGGUGUAGCCGCUUAAAUAUUAAGUCUGUUCGACUUUUAAAUUCUAACGUGAUCUGAGUUC